GGGAGUAAAAUUUAGUGGUAGAGCUUUCGACUGUGCAGAUCGAAAGAUCUCCGGUUCAAACCCGGGUGUCCUCU